UCGCUUCGUAGCCGUCCCCCCUUGGAUGUAACCAUGUAGAAACGAAGGGGUGGAAUUGGAAAAGAGACGAGGACAGCUGCCGCUUAAUAACGGUGUCCACUCGGACUCAGAUGCAGCGGGAAGCCGGAAUGGAGCGAAUGGGGACGGAGCCAGUGGUGCCAUGGGUGCCUCCGCUAGGAACUCUGGUCGAUGCCGACGCGGGGUAAAGAGACCCUGCGGUUCCAGGACUCUACCUCAGUGGCGGGAAAACCUCAACCUGCACUGCACAGGCCCAAGUCAGGGAGCAUGCGCAGUGUGUGCGCACGCGCCUCUUUCUGCGCAUGCGCCUUAGUGCGCAUACGCCUUCCUGAGCGCAUUCUGUGAGAACCGUUGGGCCUGAGACAGGUGUGUUUAUUCAGUUCCAGUUCAUUCUCACUACUUGAGACUCACCAGGGAGAGAUAUGAGUGGGCAAGUGGCAUCAACACUGGGACCUACAGGUCAAGAUUCUUCCCAGCUGGAUGAACCUGUGGUUGACCAGCAGCCCAGUGUUGAGCAACCUCAACAAGAGGAAGCACCAGCUGAGAUUCAGGAUAUCACAGCUGGAAAGGAGGAAGUCAAUGGAGAGGAUCCAGUGAAUCCUGAUGAAGAGAAGGAGAAGGAUGCCUCCGGAGAUUCUGACCUGGAAACUGAUCUCCAGGAAUUGGCUUUGGCAACGACCGGGGGUCAAGGCGGAGAUGGUCCUGAUGUCAAGGAGGAGAUUGCGUCAAAUACAGAGCCUGUUGAAAUGCCAGAGGAGGUAUGUCAUCCAUUCAGAAAGUAAUUUAUAUGGUUUAUGUUUUUCAGAAUAUUGUAUCUUUAAUAAUAUAGAGCGAAAAAUAAUAUUAUUUUAAUAACAGAGUUCAUAUAUUCUUUGAAAGAUAGUUCAGACCCCAGAUGCCUGAGUGCCUGACUUACAGACUUGCAAAUAAAGAAACAGACAGGAUCAAAGCCAUAUAAAAUUGAAAAUAGGAAACCGUUUCCUUCUCUUGACUAUAAGUACUUUAACCAACAGCUAAUAAUUUUCAUGUUCUUUUAUCAUUUCUGCUUGUAACAAAUAUGGAAUGCAUUUUUAAUAAAUAUCAGUUUAUAUGAAAUAUGCUCAGGUAUUCAUGUAGGUUCUAGUAGCAGCUUUAACAUAAUGUGUGUGAUUCUGUGAAAUCCCUUAACUUCUAAACUUAACUUUACUCAUGUAAGUUGUGAAUUCAAAACAGAUACACUAAAAUGCUCAUUGUUCAACGCUAAUUUUUGCAUUCUCUGGUGCUCUUCAAUGGAAUACAUACAAGGAUACUCUCUUUUCCAUGAUUUAUUUAUCAUAAAAUAGCAUCUUGAGUCAAAUUAUAACAGGGGAAUUGAGAUUUCAUUUUCUGAUGGGGAACACAGGUACAACUGUUGCUGAUUUAUGUCGAUGUAUGGCAAAACUACGACAAUAUUGUAAAGUCAUUAGCCUCCAAUUAAAAUAAAUAAAUAAACUUUUCUUUAAUAAAGAAAAUGAGCCAACAUUCUGCUUGAUGUUUGUUAAAUUCUCUCAAAUUCUGAAUUCUCUAGCUCUUAAAAAGCAGUUGCAUUUUAAAUCCUUUCCCCAGUGAAGCAUGAAAUGACUGAACAAUGAAAUGGCCAAAGAUAGUCUAGUUUCCUCUAUCUGUGGCUGAUCAAGUUUAGAGUGCAUGUAGUCAGUGCUAUUCAAGGCAGGUGUGAGUAAGAUACACAUGCUAAGCACACUGCCUGCCUCCAUAUUUGGUCUGGUUUUUUUUUUGAGGGGGUUGCUUAUUUUGGAGAAGGAAAUGGCAACCCACUCCAGUAUUCUUGCCUGGAGAAUCCCAUGGAAGGAGGAGCCUGGCAGGCUACAAUCCAUG